GACGAACGCUGGCGGCGUGCCUAAUACAUGCAAGUCGAACGCACUCUCGUUUAGAUUGAAGGAGUUUGCUCCUGAUUGAUCAACAUUUGAGUGAGUGGCGGACGGGUGAGUAACACGUGGGUAACCUGCCCUAAAGUGGGGGAUAACAUUUGGAAACAGAUGCUAAUACCGCAUAAAACCUAACACCGCAUGGUGUAGGGUUGAAAGAUGGUUUCGGCUAUCACUUUAGGAUGGACCCGCGGUGCAUUAGUUAGUUGGUGAGGUAAAGGCUCACCAAGACAGUGAUGCAUAGCCGACCUGAGAGGGUGAUCGGCCACACUGGGACUGAGACACGGCCCAGACUCCUACGGGAGGCAGCAGUAGGGAAUCUUCCACAAUGGACGAAAGUCUGAUGGAGCAACGCCGCGUGAGUGAAGAAGGUUUUCGGAUCGUAAAACUCUGUUGUUGGAGAAGAAUGUAUCUGAUAGUAACUGAUCAGGUAGUGACGGUAUCCAACCAGAAAGCCACGGCUAACUACGUG
rnacentral:rRNA from 1 species